CCUACGGGGGGCAGCAGUGAGGAAUAUUGGUCAAUGGGCGGAAGCCUGAACCAGCCAAGUCGCGUGAGGGAAUAAGGCCCUACGGGUCGUAAACCUCUUUUGCCGGGGAGCAAGGGCGGGGACGUGUCCCGGCCCGGAGAGUACCCGGAGAAAAAGCAUCGGCUAACUCCGUGCCCGCAGCCGCGGUAAUACGGGGGAUGCGAGCGUUAUCCGGAUUUAUUGGGUUUAAAGGGUGCGUGGGCGGGCUUUUAAGUCAGCGGUAAAAAUUCGGGGCUCAACCCCGUCCGGCCGUUGAAACUGGGGGACUUGAGUGGGGGAGAAGAAGGCGGAAUGUGUGGUGUAGCGGUGAAAUGCAUAGAUAUCACGCAGAACCCCGAUUGCGAAGGCAGCCUUCCGGCGCCCUACUGACGCUGAGGCACGAAAGUGCGGGGAGCGAACAGGAUUAGAUACCCCGGUAGUC
rnacentral:rRNA from 1 species